rnacentral:tRNA from 1 species
UGAGGUUGUGGCUCAGUGGUAGAGCACUCACCUACCACGUAUGAGGCCCUGAGUUCGCUCCUUAGCACCACAA